rnacentral:rRNA from 1 species
AGAGUUUGAUCCUGGCUCAGGAUGAACGCUGGCGGUGUGCCUAAUACAUGCAAGUUGAGCGGGAUCCAUGCGCUUGCGCAUGGUGAGAGCGGCGGACUGGCGAGUAACACGUGGGCGACGCGCCCUCCGGACGGGAAUAGCCUGUAGGAAUACAGGGUAAUGCCGGAUGCGAACGCGCGCGCUGGAGGCGCGCGUGGAAAGCCCCCACGGGGGCGCCGGAGGAGCGGCCCGCGGCCCAUCAGCUUGUAGGCGGUGCAAGGGACCACCUAGGCUACGACGGGUACCCGGCCUCAGAGGGCGGACGGGCGCAUUGGGACUGAGAUACGGCCCAGACUCCUACGGGAGGCAGCAGCUAAGAAUAUUCCGCAAUGGGGGGAACCCUGACGGAGCGACGCCGCGUGGGCGAGGAAGGCCGGAAGGUUGUAAAGCCCUUUUGCGCGCGAGGAAUAAGGGGAGGAGGGAAUGCCUUCCCGGUGACUGUAGCGCGCGAAUAAGCGCCGGCUAAUUACGUGCCAGCAGCCGCGGUAACACGUAAGGCGCGAGCGUUGUUCGGAAUCAUUGGGCGUAAAGGGCGUGUAGGCGGCCCUGCAAGCCUGGCGUGAAAUCCCGGGGCUCAACCCCGGAACCGCGCUGGGAACUGCUGGGCUGGAGCCGCUGUGGCGCAGCCGGAAUUCCAGGUGUAGGGGUGAAAUCUGUAGAUAUCUGGAAGAACACCGAUGGCGAAGGCAGGCUGCGAGCGGACGGCUGACGCUGAGGCGCGAAGGCGCGGGGAGCGAACAGGAUUAGAUACCCUGGUAUUCCACGCCGUAAACGAUGAUGGCUAACCGCCGGCGACACACAGUCGGUGGCCAAGCGAAAGCGAUAAGCCAUCCACCUGGGGAGUACGUCGGCAACGAUGAAACUCAAAGGAAUUGACGGGGGCCCGCACAAGCGGAGGAACAUGUGGUUUAAUUCGAUGAUACGCGAGGAACCUUACCCGGGCUCGAACGGCAGGGGAAUCACCCAGAGAUGGGUGAGUCUUCGGACUCCUGUCGAGGUGCUGCAUGGUUGUCGUCAGCUCGUGCCGUGAGGUGUCGGCUCAAGUGCCAUAACGAGCGCAACCCCUGCCGCCAGUUGCCAUCAGGUGAAGCUGGGCACUCUGGCGGGACUGCCACCGCAAGGUGUGAGGAGGGGGGGGAUGACGUCAAAUCAGCACGGCCCUUACGUCCGGGGCGACACACGUGUUACAAUGGCGGCCACAGAGGGAGGCUACCCCGCGAGGGGAUGCGGAUCUCGAAAAGCCGUCCCAGUUCGGACUGGAGUCUGCAACCCGACUCCACGAAGUUGGAUUCGCUAGUAAUCGCGCAUCAGCCAUGGCGCGGUGAAUACGUUCCCGGGCCUUGUACUCACCGCCCGUCA